AGAGUUUGAUCAUGGCUCAGGACGAACGCUGGCGGCGUGCUUAACACAUGCAAGUCGAACGGUAAGGCCCUUCGGGGUACACGAGUGGCGAACGGGUGAGUAACACGUGGGUGAUCUGCCCUGCACUUCGGGAUAAGCCUGGGAAACUGGGUCUAAUACCGGAUAGGACCAUGGACUUCACGGUUUGUGGUGGAAAGCUUUUGCAGUGUGGGAUGGGCCCGCGGCCUAUCAGCUUGUUGGUGGGGUAAUGGCCUACCAAGGCGACGACGGGUAGCCGGCCUGAGAGGGUGUCCGGCCACACUGGGACUGAGAUACGGCCCAGACUCCUACGGGAGGCAGCAGUGGGGAAUAUUGCACAAUGGGCGCAAGCCUGAUGCAGCGACGCCGCGUGAGGGAUGACGGCCUUCGGGUUGUAAACCUCUUUCAAUAGGGACGAAGCGCAAGUGACGGUACCUAUAGAAGAAGCACCGGCCAACUACGUG
rnacentral:rRNA from 1 species